UACGUAGGGGGCAAGCGUUGUCCGGAUUUAUUGGGUUUAAAGGGUGCGUAGGCGGCUUAUUAAGUCAGUGGUGAAAGACGGUAGCUUAACUAUCGAGGUGCCAUUGAUACUGAUGAGCUUGAGUACUGAUGAGGUAGGCGGAAUGGACGGUGUAGCGGUGAAAUGCAUAGAUAUCGUCCAGAACACCGAUAGCGAAGGCAGCUUACUAAGGAGUAACUGACGCUGAGGCACGAAAGUGUGGGGAUCAAACAGG
rnacentral:rRNA from 1 species